rnacentral:rRNA from 1 species
UACGUAGGUGACAAGCGUUGUCCGGAUUUACUGGGCGUAAAGAGCGCGCAGGCGGUCGAUCAAGUCGAGUGUGAAAGCCCCCGGCUCAACUGGGGAGGGUCAUUCGAUACUGAUCGACUCGAAGGCAGGAGAGGGUAGUGGAAUUCCCGGUGUAGUGGUGAAAUGCGUAGAUAUGUGGCGGAACACCGAUGGCGAAGGCAGCCCCCUGGGCUGAGAUUGACGCUCAGGCACGAAAGCGUGGGGAGCAAACAGG